rnacentral:rRNA from 1 species
CUCCUACGGGAGGCAGCAGUAGGGAAUCUUCCGCAAUGGACGCAAGUCUGACGGAGCAACGCCGCGUGAGUGAUGAAGGUUUUCGGAUCGUAAAGCUCUGUUGCCAAGGAAGAACGGCUUGGAGAAAA